UACGAAGGGGUCUAGCGUUGUUCGGAUUUACUGGGCGUAAAGCGCACGUAGGCGGAUCGUUAAGUCAGGGGUGAAAUCCUGGAGCUCAACUCCAGAACUGCCUUUGAUACUGGCGAUCUUGAGUCCGGAAGAGGUGAGUGGAACUCCUAGUGUAGAGGUGAAAUUCGUAGAUAUUCGGAAGAACACCAGUGGCGAAGGCGGCUCACUGGACAAGUAUUGACGCUGAGGUGCGAAAGCGUGGGGAGCAAACAGG
rnacentral:rRNA from 1 species